AUUGAACGCUGGCGGCAGGCCUAACACAUGCAAGUCGAACGAGUGGCGGACGGGUGAGCAAUUGCUGGGAAACUGCGUGACGGAGGGGGAUGACUAGUGGAACAGGUAGCUAAUAGCGCAUACCAUCGGUUGGGGCCAGGUGGGAUUAGCUAGUGGGUGAGGUAACGGCUCACCUAGGCGACGAUGCUUAGCUGGUCUGAGAGGCUGACCAGCCACACUGGGACUGAGACACGGUCCAGACUCCUACGGGAGGCAGCAGUGGGGAAUAUUGGGCAAUGGGCGAAAGCCUGAUGCAGCCAUGCCGCGUGUAUGAAGAAGGCCUUCGGGUUGUAAAGUACUGUCGGCGGGGAAGCGUUACUCACAGAGGAAGCACCGGCUAACUCCGUGCCAGCAGCCGCGGUAAUUC
rnacentral:rRNA from 1 species